ACCUGUGGCGAAGGCGGUCUACCAGAACACGUUCGACGGUGAGGGAUGAAAGCUGGGGGAGCAAACCCGGAUUAGAUACCCGGGUAGUCCCAGCUGUAAACUAUGCAAACUCAGUGACGCAUUGGCUUGUGGCCAAUGCAGUGCUGCAGGGAAGCCGUUAAGUUUGCCGCCUGGGAAGUACGUACGCAAGUAUGAAACUUAAAGGAAUUGGCGGGGGAGCACCACAAGGGGUGAAGCCUGCGGUUCAAUUGGAGUCAACGCCAGAAAUCUUACCCGGAGAGACAGCAGAAUGAAGGUCAAGCUGAAGACUUUACCAGACAAGCUGAGAGGUGGUGCAUGGCCGUCGCCAGCUCGUGCCGUGAGAUGUCCUGUUAAGUCAGGUAACGAGCGAGAUCCCUGCCUCUAGUUGCCACCAUUACUCUCAGGAGUAGUGGGGCGAAUUAGCGGGACCGCCGCAGUUAAUGCGGAGGAAGGAAGGGGCCACGGCAGGUCAGUAUGCCCCGAAACUCUGGGGCCACACGCGGGCUGCAAUGGUAGUGACAAUUGGUUCCGAAUCCGAAAGGAGGAGGUAAUCCCUAAACGCUACCACGGUUAUGACUGAGGGCUGCAACUCGCCCUCACGAAUAUGGAAUCCCUAGUAACCGCGUGUCAUUAUCGCGCGGUGAAUACGUCCCUGCUCCUUGCACACACCGCCCGUCGUUUCAUUGAAGUUUGCUUUUAGCGAGGUGACGUCUGAUUGGCGUUAUCGAACUUGAGGUAAGUGACAAGGGAAAAGUCGUAACAAGGGUAACC
rnacentral:rRNA from 1 species